AUGGGGCGCGCCACCGCCUGCCUGGCCGCCUUGCUGCUCGCCGUCACCUUUCUGCUUGCCCCCGCCGCCACGGAGUCGCUCGCGGCCGUGCAGACGGACCAGACGACCACUGAGAGCGGGUCCACCCUGUCGGCGCACUGCUGCAAAGACGAGGAGGAAGCGGUGGCCAAGCCUGCCCAGCUUGUUGUUGGUGAUCUAGCGGACUUGGCAUCAGCGGAGGAGCAAGGCCAUAAGCCUAGCUCUCACCGGAGUAACAAAAAGAAGAUCCACCACCACCACCACGAUGACGACGAUGAUGACGACGAUGAUGAUGAUGGUGGUGGUGGUGAUGAUGAUCAUGAUGGCAACGACGAUGACGACGACGACGAUGGUGGUGGUGGUGGUGGUCGUCGUGAUGAUGAUGAUGAUGACAACGACGACGACGACGAUGAUGAUGGUGGCGACGAUGAUAAUGAUGAUGGUGGCGACGACGAUGACGACAAUGGCCGAUCCCACUCGGGCCACGACUGUGACUCAGGCUCUGACUGUGAUGGUGAUGACGACAACUCAAAGGGCAGGAAGAAGAAGCCCUCAACUCCAGAAAAGAAGGAAGUCCCGGGAGGAAACCGAUGCUCACAGUGCAUUUCUUCCAUCAAAAUGUAUGACUCGGAAAUGAUUUUUUGCACCGGAGGAGGUGAAAGCUCUGAGAUUGCAAGGCUGGAGCAACUCUGUAUAAUUUGCACACAUGGGUAG
rnacentral:rRNA from 1 species